rnacentral:rRNA from 1 species
AUUGAACGCUGGCGGCAGGCCUAACACAUGCAAGUCGAACGGUAGCACAGAGGAGCUUGCUCCUUGGGUGACGAGUGGCGGACGGGUGAGUAAUGUCUGGGAAACUGCCUGAUGGAGGGGGAUAACUACUGGAAACGGUAGCUAAUACCGCAUAACGUCGCAAGACCAAAGAGGGGGACCUUCGGACCUCUUGCUAUCAGCUGUGCCCAGAUGGGAUUAGCUAGUAGGUGGGGUAAUGGCUCACCUAGGCGACGAUCCCUAGCUGGUAUGAGAGGAUGACCAGCCACACUGGAAGGGAGACACGGUCAACGCGCCGACGGGAGGCAGCAGCGGGGCAUAUUGCACAAUGGGCGCAAGCACGAUGCAGCCAUGCCGCGUGUAUGAGGAAGGCCGUCGGGUUGCAAAGUACGUUCAGCCGGGAGGAAGGCGAUACGGUGAAUAACCGUGUGGAUGGACGUUACCCGCAGAAGAAGCGCCGGGUAACGCCGUGCGAGCCGCGGCGGUUA